AUGCUGUUUUUGUGUUUUGCCAUUUUUAUGCAAUUCUUGGCAUUGUUUGCAGCAUCUGUGGAUUGUUUUGACAGGUUUUGUGCAGUUUUUGGACUGGUUUGGUUGUAUGACAGGUUUGGGACAACAUCUGCAAUUUUGGACAACAAGAGGUUUUGUAAUUUUGCUGCUGGUUUUCUUUUGACAUAUCUUGAAUCAGUUUGUCAUCUUGGCUUUUUGGACAACAACAUUCUUGGAGCAUAA